rnacentral:rRNA from 1 species
AAACGUAGGAGGCGAGCGUUAUCCGGAUUUACUGGGCGUAAAGCGCGUGCAGGCGGCUCGAAAAGUUGGAUGUGAAAGCUCCUGGCUUAACUGGGAGAGGUCGUUCAAUACUUUCGGGCUUGAGGAUGGGAGAGGGAGGUGGAAUUCCGGGUGUAGUGGUGAAAUGCGUAGAUAUCCGGAGGAACACCAGUGGCGAAGGCGGCCUCCUGGCCCAUUUCUGACGCUCAGACGCGAAAGCUAGGGUAGC